UAUAAUAUAUAAUAUCAUAAUUAGCAUGGCUUGGAAAUAUAUGUUCAUUUUGCUGCUGCUUCUCUUUCUUACCUUUUUGUUUUCCACAUACGAGAAGAAGGGUCAUAUAUGUAUGUUAUCUCUUUACUCCAAUCAUGAUUACUGUGGUUCUGUUCCUGCUUAGCUACACAUUAUAUUCCAAGCCCAGCUGCUGCCUUGUUUGAAUGUUUCUUGAAGAAGGCAUUGUAACUUUAACCAAGCAGCCCGUAUUCUAUAUCUAUGGUUUUCUAGGUUAUUGUCCAAGGUGCAGGCCAGAUAACUUUUAAGAAAGUCAUUUCUAGAGUCCCUCUGAGUGGUCUCCAGAAAUUGUGGGAUUAGCUUGUGGAAGUUGAUAUGAAACUACAGUUAAGUGGGUGAUGAGCAUGAAUGACCUCAGGCAAAAAUUGCAAAGCAACUUUCUUCUCUAUUCAUAAGUACUAUGUAAAACAAAUAUUACAUAUAUAAUGAGUAUGUAUCAGAUUGCAUUUCAAAAUUAAACAUGUUGAUCCUAUUUUUUCCCCAUAUAGGGCAUAAUUAUCUUUGAGAAACUAUUAAAAAUUAGGGAAAAGGUUAUCCUUUAACAGAAUUGUGUGACAGCACAUUGCAGUACGCACUAAUGCCUCUCCCCAAUUCCCAGUGUUACAUUUCCUUGUCUACUUUCUGUGAUUCUUGGCUCUUUUUCUGCUAGACCCCUUCAAAUAUCUGCUCAAGGGUAUCAUG
rnacentral:lncRNA from 10 species